AUUGAACGCUGGCGGCAUGCCUUACACAUGCAAGUCGAACGGCAGCACGGACUUCGGUCUGGUGGCGAGUGGCGAACGGGUGAGUAAUGUAUCGGAACGUACCUUUCAGUGGGGGAUAACGUAGCGAAAGUUACGCUAAUACCGCAUAUUCUGUGAGCAGGAAAGCAGGGGAUCGCAAGACCUUGCGCUGAUUGAGCGGCCGAUAUCAGAUUAGCUAGUUGGUGAGGUAAAGGCUCACCAAGGCGACGAUCUGUAGCGGGUCUGAGAGGAUGAUCCGCCACACUGGAACUGAGACACGGUCCAGACUCCUACGGAGGCAGCAGUGGGGAAUUUUGGACAAUGGGGGCAACCCUGAUCCAGCCAUGCCGCGUGAGUGAAGAAGGCCUCGG
rnacentral:rRNA from 1 species